CCUAGUUUCCGUGCCUAACGUUUAACCGUUCAUCUUAUUUAAAAAAAUUAUGAAAAAAAAAUUAAAAAGACAAGUCACGCACAAAGUAUUAAUUAUGUUUUAUCAUCUAACAACAAUGAAAAUACAAAUUAUAAAAAAAUUCAUAUAAGACGGACAGUUAAAGUUGGACACAGAAACCCAGAGUUUGUUUUUUU
rnacentral:pre_miRNA from 1 species